UGGCGGCAGGCCUAAUACAUGCAAGUCGAACGCCGUAGCAAUACGGAGUGGCAGACGGGUGAGUAACACGUGGGAACGUGCCCAAAGGUACGGAACAACUCCGGGAAACUGGAGCUAAUACCGUAUGUGCCCGAGAGGGGAAAGAUUCAUCGCCUUUGGAUCGGCCCGCGUCUGAUUAGCUAGUUGGCGGGGUAAUGGCCCACCAAGGCGACGAUCAGUAGCUGGUCUGAGAGGAUGACCAGCCACACUGGGACUGAGACACGGCCCAGACUCCUACGGGAGGCAGCAGUAGGGAAUAUUGGACAAUGGGCGAAAGCCUGAUCCAGCCAUGCCGCGUGAGUGAUGAAGGCCUUAGGGUUGUAAAGCUCUUUCGCCAGGGACGAUAAUGACGGUACCUGGAUAAGAAGCCCCGGCUAACUUCGUGCCAGCAGCCGCGGUAAUACGAAGGGGGCUAGCGUUGUUCGGAAUUACUGGGCGUAAAGCGUAUGCAGGCGGAUCGCUAAGUCAGGGGUGAAAUCCCGAGGCUCAACCUCGGAACUGCCUUUGAUACUGACGAUCUUGAGUCCGGGAGAGGUGAGUGGAACUGCGAGUGUAGAGGUGAAAUUCGUAGAUAUUCGCAAGAACACCAGUGGCGAAGGCGGCUCACUGGCCCGGUACUGACGCUGAGAUACGAAAGCGUGGGG
rnacentral:rRNA from 1 species